CUUGAGCUGCUGUUGGCUAUAUGGCAACUUCCCUUCCAAUACCACUCUCUUUCUUCUUCCUCACCUUCAAAAACUCAACCUUGCCUACAAUGACUUUAAUCUUUCCAAAAUUCCAUCCGAGUUCAGUCGGUUUACAAGCCUAUUCUACCUCAACCUUUCUUAUACAGAAUUUGCAGGAGAAGUCCCAUCCCAAGUCUCCCACCUGUCAAAAUUGGUUUCACUUGAUCUCUCCGGUCCGGCUUAUGAAAGAACAAUUGACAAACAUGCUCUGGAGGGACUUGUUCACAACCUAACCGAGGUCAGGCAUCUGUUUUUGGAUGGAAUCAACAUGUCUUCUGUUAAUGCUCAUGUCUUUAUGAAUCUAUCCUCUUCUCUAAGGUCUCUCAGUCUUGCUGGUUGUGGUUUGCAAGGAAAAUUCCCAAAAAACAUUUUUGAUUUGCCAAGCCUCAAUCUCCUCAAUUUGUUAGACAACCAAUUGAGUGGACAAAUUCCAAGAUCACUGGGGAACCACUUGCAACUCACUCAUUUAGACUUGUCGUGGAACCAAUUGAGUGGACAAAUUCCAUUGUCAAUUCUAAACCUAACGCAGCUUGAAUACUUGAGAAUAGCUGGAAAUACAUUAGAAGGUUCCAUUCCAGAUGAGGUAACCGCUUUUCCUAAUCUAAUAUAUUUAGGCUUAUCUGACAAUUUAUUCAAUGGAACACUUCCGUCAUGGUUGUAUACUGCUCCCUCCUUAAAGAGAAUAAUUCUCUCUCAAAAUCAAUUCAGUGGGCAUAUCAAAGAAUUCCAAUCCAAAUCACUAGAAAUGAUAUUGUUAAAGAAUAAUAAACUCCAAGGUCCUCUUCCAUCUUCAAUAUUCCAACUUCUCAAUCUUACCUACCUCUCUUUACCAAAUAAUCUUAGUGGUGUCCGUGUCAUAGAGUUUAGCAUGUUCUCAAACCUUCCAAAUCUCAAAUAUCUUGACCUUUCAUAUAACAGCCUAUCCUUAACAUCUAAUUCUACUUCUAGUGUUAAUCAUAUAUUGCCUAAUCUUACUUUUGUCAUCUUGCAAUCUUAGUGAAUUCCCCCAAUUUUUAAAAGGGCUUAAAAGUUUGGAAAGGUUAGACCUCUCUUGCAACAAAAUUGAAGGCAAGAUUCCACAGUGGAUGCAAGAGGUGGGGAAUGUCUCUUUGACUUACUUAAACGUAUCUCACAACUCUUUGACAGAAGUUGAGUACUUUCCAUGGAAGAAUAUUGAAUUUCUUGACUUAAGCUCCAAUUUGAUCCGUGGAAAUCUUCCGAUUCCAGCUUCGACCAUCAAUGUCUUUUUGAUCUCAAAUAAUAGUUUCACUGGAGAGGUCUCUUCUUUAAUAUGCAAUGCCAGUUCUCUUCAAAUUCUUGAUUUGUCCCACAAUAACUUGAGUGGAACAAUUCCGCAAUGUUUUGGAAAUUUGAGCGACAGCCUUGAAUUCUUGAAUCUGAAGAAGAACAAGUUUUAUGGGACGAUUCCUACAACAUUUGCAAAGGGAUGCCAGUUGACCACUUUCAACUUAAAUGGAAAUUUGUUAGAAGGGCCUUUGACACCAUCCAUCCUUAAUUGUAAUGAUCUGGAAGUGCUAGAUCUUGGUAACAACAAGAUCAAUGAUACAUUUCCUCAUUGGUUGGGAAGUCUUCCACAGCUACAAGUUCUUGUUUUGAAGUCAAAUCAUAUGCAUGGUUCCUUGCGUAUCAAUAGCUCCAAGUCUAUCCCUUUUUUCUCAAAAAUCCAAAUUUUUGAUCUCUCAAGUAAUUAUUUUUCUGGACCCCUACCAGUGAGAUACAUCAACAGCUUCAAGGCUAUCAUAAAUCUAGAGAAGAUUGGUAGUACAGUGUCGUACAUGGGGGUGAAUGAUCCUCGUAGUGGCUUCUAUACCUAUUCCAUUGGAAUUGUUAUGAAAGGACAAUAUAUGGAAUUGGUGAAAAUUUUCACCAUGUGGAUGAUCAUUGAUCUAUCAAACAAUCAGUUUGAAGGGGGUAUUCCAAAGGUUAUUGGGAAGCUUACCUUACUGAAAGGGCUCAACCUUUCUCACAAUAACCUUAAUGGUGGUAUCCCCACCUCAAUAGGGAAUUUGACAAGUCUUGAAUGGUUGGACCUAUCUUCAAACAGGUUGUCUGGGACGAUUCCAAAUAGAUUGGCAGAUCUGCCAUUUCUUUCGUCCUUCAAUGUUUCUGAAAAUAAACUCCAUGGUCAGAUUCCUCAAGGAAAACAAUUCAACACAUUUGGAAAUGAUUCAUAUCAAGGGAAUAAGGGACUAUGUGGGUUUCCGGUCUCGAAAGGUUGCAACAUCAUUGAGCCAGCACCUCCAAAUGUGCUUGAAAAAGAUGGCUCAAAAUCAAACAUUACUUUUGGAUGGAAAGUGGUGUUGAUAGGUUAUGGAUGCGGAGUGGUGUUCGGAAUGUCCGUGGGAUAUGUUGUUUUCAAAACUGGUAAGCCGAAAUGGUUGGUGAAUUUGGUUGAAAUCCAACAUGAGAAGAAGCGAAGAAGAAAGUCAAAGGAUGGCAGUCACAGCAAUGGACGAAGAAGGAUCUAGUUAGUGGAAAUGGUGUUCAAGUGUUGAUGUUGUAUCUUCAUAAUUUCUUGUUUUGAAGUCUUUCAAUUUUUUUCCUAUGGUGAAAGGUUGCAUUGCCAUGCAUCUGUCUUUAUUAUUGGUACUAUUUGUAAGGGUUUGUUUUAAAUGUAACAUUUUAUAUGGUUCAACUAUUUAUGUCUUCUUUCAUGAGUUUCAUUUUUGAGUCUCAAUAAUCUCUGCAUUCAAGAUUUUGUCAGCUUAUUAAUUGGUGGAUCAAUAAUCUUCAUGCUCAUCUCAUCAUCUUUUUCUCGAGUUAAACACAGUCAAUACUAUAACAAUUUCUUCUAUGUGGAAAAUAAUUUGGCAUUCUGCAGAUGUCCACAAUGCUUGUGGAUUACUUUUGGUUGACAGCUAUACAUAUAAAGGAAGGAAACAAGACCAUGUCCAAAUUUCCAAAAAUUAGCCAUUGAUUUUUGAACAGUUAAACUUUCGUAUUCUAUUUUUUAAAAUUGUAAAUUCUCAAAUAAUGUAAAUUAGUCCUAAAACUCAAGUUUUGAAAUCUUUACAAUUUAACCCCUUAUAGUUUCAAACUUUACUAUUUUAUGCUCAACUUUCUAAAUUUUCAUAUUUCAUGAUCAUAUAAUUUAGUUACUACAUCAAUAUUUGAGAUUUCACUACUCAAACCCUUACUUCAUUUUGGUCCUUACUUCAAUUUUAUCAAAUUAAAUCAUUUUUCAAUUUGAAUGCAUUGAUGUGAAAUUGAGGGACCACUAAACAAUGUUGAUGAGAGUUUAGGCAAAAUUGGUGGAUCCGAUCUCCUUAGUUAUUUCUUUGUGGAAGUACCUGCUUUCACAAUGCAAACUUGGAUAGUUUGUGGUGGACGAUGAUGAAUCAUUUCAUAGUCAAACACAUAAUUUUUAAACACAAAAUUAACGAUAUAUUGAAAUCAUUAUUGAAAUUAUAAUCAAAAUUAAUACAUGUUCUUUUUAUUAGCUUAAGGGCGUAAAAACCCUUCAAAAUUUUCAAACAAAAAAAAUUUAAGUCCUUUUUUUUCUACUCAAUUGAGCACUUAAACUUUUAAAAUGUAUCAAAAAUAUCUUUACACUUCUUCAAAAAAAGCAAUUAAACCCCUAUUUUUUUUUCCACUCAAUUGGGUACUUGAACUUUCAUAAUGCAUAAAAAAACCUUAAUUUUUUUUUUCAAAGAAACAAUUAAGCCUCUAUUUUUUUCCCACUCAAUUGGGUACUUGAACUUUCAUAAUGCAUCAAAAAGGCCUUAAUUUUUUUUCAAAAAAGCAAUUAAGCCCUACUCUUAUUAAAAAUUAGAAAAAAAUCAUAAAAAUAAUAAAUUUUAGAAAAAAAUAUUAAAUUUUAAUAAAAUUUAAAAACUUAUUAAUAAUUUGAAUUUUUUUUAGAAAAAUAGUCAAAAAAUAAAAUUUUAUAAAAAUCAUAAAAAAAAUAAAAUCCAUCAAAAGUCCUUUUAAUAAUUAACUUUAACUAUUGAUCGUUAAAGUUAACGACGUCUAGUUUUUCAAUUAAAGUUAUUAUGUGUCGCAACUCAGCUUGAUAUGUAGCGAAAACAGAUAAAAGUAGGGGCUUAAUUGCUUUUUUUAAAAGUUUGAGGGUCUUUUUGAUGCAUUUUGAAAGUUCAAGUACCCAAUUGAGUGCCAAAAAAUAAAGUAGGGGCCUAAUUGCUUUUUUUGAAAAUGUUUGAGGGCCUUUUUGAUGUAUUUUGAAAGUUCAAGUACCCAAAUGAGUGCUUAAAAAGAACAGGGGUUUAGUUGCUAUUUUUGAAAAAGUUUGCACCCUUAAACCUCUUUUGUUUUUCUAAAUUAAAUUUAGAACCAACUUUGAGUAACGACUUGGAAAUUUAAUUAGCAAAAUAUCUUUCCAUGUAAAAAUUUCCCCUAUUUCUUGUUUGAAUCUAAAGCAAUACAAUAUUUUUUUUCCAAAAUUUUCAAAAUUUUCAAAAAAAAAAAUUAAGUCCCUCUUUUUUUUCCACUCAAUUGAGCACUUAAACUUUUAAAAUGUAUCAAAAAUAUCUUUACACUUCUUCAAAAAAAGCAAUUAAACCCCUUUUUUUCCGCUCAAUUGGGUAUUUAAAUUUUUAAUAUUUGAUUUUUUAUUAAAAUUUAAUAAUAUUAUAGAUUUUAUUGAUUUUAAUUUUUUUCUAAUUUGUAAUAAAAGUAGGGGCUUAAUUGUUUUUUUUUUUUUAAGUUUGAGGGUCUUUUUUAUGCAUUUUGAAAGUUCAAGUACCCAAUUGAGUGCCAAAAAAUAAAGACUUGGGAAAUUUAAUUAGCAAAAUUUCUUUCCAUCUAAAAAUUUCCCCUAUUUCUUGUUUGAAUUUAAAGCAAUACAAUAUUUUUCUAGCAAGUAAUAGAAAAUGACAGUCAAUUCAUUCCAAGCAAUACAAAAUUUCCAGUCUGGUGGAAAAUUUGUUUCUUAGAUGCUAUUAUUCAGCUUUUAAGGCAUAAGUUUGAAUAUAGGGACUACAUUUUUAAUGUGUUGUUUAUUUUAAAAUCUAUUAAUAUAUACACACCUAGGGACCAUAUAUAUAUAUAUAUAUAUAUAUAUAUUCCAGUCUGGGUCUUUGUCGUGUUUUGUUGGUUGGCUAUGGCCUUCUUGUUGUUUCAUGGCCACUGCCUGUGAAUUAAGUCAUAUGUGGCCUUGUUUGCUAAGUUAAAGGGAGUGAAUAGAGCACCAUAUUUCUUCUUCUGCGUGGAAAAUAAGUUGGCAUUAUGCCGAAUUCCACAUUCAUACAUAGAAAGGAAGCAAGACCAAGUCAAUAUACCUUGUAAUCUCAUCAAUUCUAAUUAUUUCACUUCUUCUUUCUUUAGGGAGUUCAAGUGAAAUACAAAUUUUUCCACAUCCAAUCUCAUAAAUAAUCCGUCUUUGAACUUUCACAAAAAAAUAUUAAAUACCCAUUCACUUUAAUUCUACUAUUCUUAAAUCAAUAAAGUUUUGUGCAAAAUAAAUGAAUAUAGGCCACACAUGCUUUGAAUUUUUAAGUAGUCCACAAUUUUGUUCGUUUGUGUGCAAAAUUCUACAUUGCUUGACAGCCAUACAUACUAAGUAAAUAGACACCCACAUUGUUUACGUAUUAUGAGGAAGAAGACUAAGUCAAUCUACUUUGUAAUCUCAUCAAUCUUAAUUUUCUCAGUUGUUUAGGGAGUUCAAAUGAAAUACAAAAUUUUGAAAAAAAAAUGUAUCCAAUUUUGUGAAUGAAAAAUUUAUGGUAAAAAGGAUUUGGUAUGGAUACUUUGGCCCGGGUAGCAAUACUCAGGGUAAGUUUAUCAAUACAUUGCUUUUGGUUGGAAAGUGGUGUUGAUAGGUUAUGGAUGCGGGGUAGUGUUUGGAAUGGCCAUGGGAUGUGUUGUUUUCCAAACCGGUAAGGCGAAAAGGUUUGUGAAUUUGGUUGAAGACCAACAUGAGAAGAGGCGAAGAAGAAAGCCAAAAUAUAGCACUCGCAUCAAUGGAUGAAGAAGGAUCUAGUUGGUGCAAAUGAAGUUAAAGCAUUUGUGCUUUGUCUUCAUGAUUUCUUAUCUGAAUAAUCUCUGCAUUCAAGAUUUUGUCGGUAAAAAGCAUAAUUAAAGUCAUUAUGUGUCGCAAUUCAACAUGACAUGUAGCGAAAACAGAUAAAAAAGUAAAAAUCAAUAAAAGUUAUAGAAAAAUUAUAAAAUAUUUCUUUUGGUACAAUAAUUUUUAUAAAUUUUUUUUUACAAAAUUUAUAUUUCUUUACAUUUUGUAUAAUUUUCUUAUGACUAUAAAAUUUUAUAAUUUUUUAUAUUUCUAUAUAUUUUAAAAUUUUUAAAAUUUUUAUAAAAUUUCACAAUUUUUAUAAAAUUUCACAAUUUUUAUAUAUUUUUUAAUAAAUUUUUAAGAUUUGAAUUUUUAUUAAAAUUUAAUAAUAUUAUUGAUUUUAAUUUUUCUCUAAUUUUUAAUAAAAGUAGGGACUUAAUUGGUUUUUUUUAUUAAGUUUGAGGGUGUUUUUGAUGCAUUUUGAAAGUUUAAGUACCCAAUUGAGUGCAAAAAAAAGGAGGGGCUUAAUUGCUUUUUUUGAAAAUGUUUGAGGGCCUUUUUGAUGUAUUUUGAAAGUUCAAGUUCUCAAAUGAGUUUUAAAAAAAAGAACAGGGGUUUAGUUGCUAUUUUUGAAAAAGUUUGAGGGUUUUUUGCACCCUUAAACCUCUUUUCUUUUUCUAAAUUUAAUUUAGAACCAACUUUGAGUAAAGACUUGGGGAAUUGAAUUAGCAAAAUUUCUUUCCAUGAAAAAAUUUUCCCCUAUUUCUUGUCUGAAUUUAAAGCAACACAAUAUUUUUCUAGCAAGUAAUAGAAAAUGACAGUCAAUUAAUUCCAAGCAUUAAUUGACACAAGGGCCUUCAUGGUACUUUUACUCCGAAAGUACGUGGCUUUUCUUUUACACAGGGAUUUGCUUCAAUUUUUUUUGUCAACUCAACAUUCAUUCAUCAACUUUUCUUUUUCAAUUGAACAUUUCAACAUCCCUUAUCCGUCCCGAUGUCUGUAUGGAUAGUAGAUGUUAUUGGAACAUGGAAUUGGUAUUUUGCUUUCCAUGCAGCACCUUCUGAUGGUAAAAUGGCUGAAUACAAAGAAGAUGGGCUUUCCGUUGAUGUCAAAUUACCUGUUAAGCCUGUAUUAUCUAGAGAGCUUCAAGUAUGUGCUACAUCUUCAGCAACAUUUUUAUGUUAAAAUACAUUUUGCACAGAAUGAUAUUAAAAGACUAAUUUGGUUGUCAUGCAGCUUUACUUUGACAAGAUCGUGGACAUUACCAUGAAUAAAUCAGUCUCAGUUCUCUUUCAACAAGCAUUACUGAGUUUGGCAACAGACUCGGGAUUACAUCCUUUAGUUCCUUAUUUUACAUAUUUCAUUGCGGAUGAGGUUGUUUUAAAGAUCUUUCAUACCUCAUUAUAUAUGUGUGUUGCAAAGAACUUUUGGUUGGUUAUCUCAAGCUUACAAUUUUGCCACAUUUUUGAAUAAUUUCCCUCUCAUGUUUGCUUUGAUGCGUGUUGCCCGGAGUCUUCUCCAGAAUGAACACUUACACAUAGAACCUUACGUGAGUUUAUUAUUUCAAUCAUUUAGAAGUACACGAACUAAUGCAAAUAUGCUAGUGGUUAUUUUCCACCUAUCUGAUUUUUUAAAAUGUUCUUCAGUUACACCAGUUGAUGCCAUCUAUUAUUACCUGCCUCGUUGCAAAAAGGUUAGGAAAUAAAUUCACCGACAAUCAUUGGGGACUUAGAAACUUCGCAGCAAAGCUAGUGGCAUCAAUAUGCAAAAGGUGAAGAUUUCUUUUCUUUUGGACUUAUACAUGCAUAUUCUUUUGGACUUAAUUUCGAGCAUAAUGAUUUGUAUAAACUUUCCAAUAGCUUGGAAAGCGAAAAAAAAAACAAAAAAAAGAAGGAAAAAAAAGAAAAAAAGAAGAAAUAAAAAAAGAAAAUAAAAGAAAAAUAAUACUCCUCUGAUAUUAAUGUUAAGAGUGAAAAUUGGGGUUGUACACCGGACAAAGUAACCGGAAUAUGGUGCUUGGGUUGUCAUCAUGUCUCGCGUAAAAAGGUCUGUGUGACUGCCCAAUUUCUUUGCACUCACUCCACUAACUAAGUAUCACGAGUAGGGCGAAAUAACCCGCUUAGAGACAUUUGAAUUGAGUAACCGGAACAUGGUGCUUGGUUUGUCAUCAUGUCUCGCGUCAAAAAAUUUGAAAAUGUCCUAAGUACAAAAAUAAAUAAAAUGAGGGGCACUCUUCCUUAUUUCUUAAGCUAGGUUAAUAUGUAAUGACUAAAUUGUUGAAUUGUGCAAACCAUGGGGGUCAAGUCCUAUUAUGGAGGAAAUUUUUUUCCUUUUGCAGAUACAUGCAUAAUGCUCGAGGACUAGCAUGGACUAAGUAGGGGGAUUUGAUUAAAUGCUAAAGUUACAUAUUUUAUGUAAUUAAAUUGGUUAAUUUAUGAGAGUGCACCACUAAUUUUUCCAUGUUUAUAUUGAAUUUUGUGCAGGGAUGCAAUUUUGGGCUAAAUAGAAAAAAAAGGAAACAAUUGGGCUAGAUUGAAGAAAGAAGCAAAGAAGGAGGGCCAAAGUAGAAUUUUUCCGAAAUUAAUUAGCUGAAAUUUUUGUUGACUUAGUGGGAGAUUAUUUUGGGAUUUAUUUUAUAUCAUGGAAUAUUUUCCCUUGAUUUUCUAUGUUGGUGGCUCUUAAUUUAGUAAGGCCAUUAGUAUAAAUAGAUGCUAUAUUGUUCAUUUUAAGUAUCAAUCAAAAUAUUAAGCUUUCAUCUCUCAAUACAUUUUCUCUUUUCCUGUCACGAAUUCAUUUGCUGCCAUUAGUUUCUUUUCCUUCAAUUUAUUAAAUUUCAGUAGCCAACCACCUUUACUUUCAACUAUUCACGAAUUUAUUUAUUGCCUUUAGUUACCUUUACUUUCAAUUCCUAAAUUUCCAGCUUGUUACCACUUACCAUUUACAACUUCUUUUCCAAAUUCCCUUUUCAUUUCCAGUAGCCAGCCUCCCAUUUUACCUUAUUUUAUCCAAUAACCAACAUGCCCCAAACCUUAGUUAACUAAACCCAUUUUCAGCUUUAGGCCGGAAUUAGCCUCGUCAAAACCCGUGAGUUACGAACCCGAGCAAAUUAACUCCCAAAAUUCUAGUACUUAUUAUUUCUCCGGAUUAAGAGUAUGAUUUUGUCAACUCACAAAGUCAGACUAACAUUAGUCAAAAAAGACGUCGUCUGAUUUAGUGUGGUUAGACGUAUAGUUGGAAUUUCAAAAGGAACGUUUCUAAUCAGUUUUCUGUGAACACAUUGGCGUGCCAAGUGGAGAUUGUUGUUUGGUUCCGUCAAGGGAAGUAGUAAUCGGAUUUAAAUGUCCCACGCGGUUGAGGACAUUGGUUCGAGCUAGGCUCUUCUAGAACACAAAGCUGUUGGAGUUCUAAAUCACGAACGUUUCGUGGUUGUUCGAUCGGUAAGGGUUAGUUAUUGGACGUUCCAUACUAAUUUACACAAUGAAGAGUUGGUGUCCGAGGCGUCCUUGGUAGCUAUAACUAGCUUAUUGGAAAAGAGGAGUUCAUCUAAUUUCGAGGAUCGGUUCAAAGACGAGGAAAAACCCGUGCCUAAAGCUGAGCUUAUUCUAAUUAAUUUUUCUUCAUAUUUAUUUAACUGAUUUUAUUAUUUUAUUUUCAGCCUUUACUUUUCACGCAUUUUUUCCCUGUUUAGUCUAGGUUCCAGAUUUUCAACUUUAUUCUCCCCCCGAACUUCUUGGGCACGACAACUGCCCUGACAAAAAUUUGGUCGAGAAAGAGAAACAAUUCGCAGUAAACCCAGUCUCUGAGGGAUCAACCGUACUCCCUAUACUGCUUAAAUUGCAAAUUAGGCGUAGGUUUAUAUUGGUGGAUUCGACAUCCAUCACUUUUCUUUUGGACUUGUACAUGCAUAUUCGUUGUUAUGAAUUUCAGGUGUCUGAUUUUUUAGUUAUAAACUUGGAUCUAUUCUUCAAAUCAUGUGUAUAUAAUUUUUAUGCUAUUUCACACAUGCAAAACAAAUGGUGCGAGCGUGCAUCUGUAAAGUUUGUCUUUCAUAUGUUUGGCUAAUGCUUCUUCUUCCAUAUGUAGGUUCGUUUACUUAUACUACCAAAUCUUGAAGCGUAUUUGUAGCUUCUUGAACCUGAAAUAAAAAGACACGAGGCCUGGUGUGUUUAUGGGGCCCUGCUGGUAAGUUUAACAUCAAAUUUGGUACCAGUUAAUGAGCAUCGUUUCAUUUAUUUGCUGUAGAACUAACAACACUACAUAAAAUUUCCACUAACAGCGUGUAGCUGGACUGUGCAUGUAUGAUCGGCUUAAAAUGUUCCCCAGUUUGCUAGCACCCCAACUCGUCCCGUCUGGAAAAGUAACAACAAAGUUGCGACAAAUAUGAUUUCUUCGAACCAUCAUAUUUACACUUAAUCCACAAGUCUCUUCUCCCCCUUUACGAUAUUCCUUUUUCUGAUCAAUCAAGAUAAACGAAAAGCAAGCACUGGCACCUUGAUGCAGCAGCAACCACCUGCCAAGAAAAUAGCAACUGAGAGUGCAAUAGGUAUGAUGCCAAUAAAUUCCAUGCAAACUGAUUUACAAGGGGCAGUUAGCGGCUUUUCUACCACCAUAGGAGGUUCCAAUAUUGGUGUAUCAUCAAUGUCACGGCCGUUAUCAAAUGAUAACAUGCUUGGAAGGGAGGUUGGGGGUCGGUUUCAAAGACAUCAACCGUUCUAGCUCAGGCUUGGAAGGAAGACACAGACCCAGGGAACUUGUUAGCAUCAUUAUUUGAACUUUUUGGUGAAAGUAUGUUAUCAUUUACUCCCAAACCUGAACUUUCAUUCUUCCUUUGAUUAAAUUUCACCUCCAAAAGCUAUGGUUUUUGAAGGAAUUUGUGUAAAUUAUCCCCAUAGUUUUUUUCAGUCUUACUGUGUUUAUCUUUAUAAGUCUUCUUUUUUUUUUCCUUGCUCAUAAAUGUAUUGUAGUUAUAAAAAAAUAUAACUUUGGAUUUUAUUUAUAUUAAAUUUUAGGUUAAAUUCUGCUAUUAGUCUCUGUACUUUACGAAAAUAAAAAUGAUAGAUUUAGUCCUUAUACCUUAAUUUGAUCAAUUUUAGUCAUUGUAUUUUUUGAAUAUCAAUUUUAAACCAUUUACUUUUUGAAUUUUGAAAUUUUAGUAUUGAUUCAAAUAAUAUUAAUAAUUAAAUCUGCUUAUUUAAAUUUAAUUAUUAGUUUUGUACUAUAUAGAAAAUUAUAGAUUUAAUCCAUAUUUUUCAAUUGGGUCAUUCCAAGUCUUUAUACUUUUUAAAUUUUGAAAUUUUAAUAUUGAUGCAGAAUGCGAGUUGAUAUUAAUUAAUUAAUUUUUUUAGCAAGUAUAUGUAGAAAUAAUAAGUUGGUAUGUCAUUAUACUUAAAAUAAUAUAUUGUCUUAACCCACCUAAAUUAUCUCUUUUUCCAUCUGGGGACCUAAAUUUUUUUGGGGUCAUAAGUGGUACCUAAACUACUUUUUUUCUCCUUCAAAUUAGUAUCUUCAUUAGUUAAACCGUUAAAAAAAAAAGACUCGAGCAACAAAUUAAUUCCUAAACAAUGCUCUUUUUCCCAAGGUGCCUAAUUUUUAUUUUGGUCAUAAGUACUACUAAAACCAUUCUUCCGUUACUCAUUUUACACCAAAAUAUUAUAUCGGCUAAAAAGAUUCUAACAAAUAAUAGAUUGUAUGUCAUAUAAACUUUUAAAAAUAAUUAUUAAUUAAUUAAUUUUUUAUAUAUUUCUUUCUUAUUCCUUUAUAAUGUUUGACAAUGCCGAUAAUGUUUGAAAUUGGCCCAGUUGAGGUCAAAAGGUUGGCGAUUAAUUUUGGUUUUGAAUUUCACCACCUACUUCUAUGACCUGAUGGGAUCGAAAAUGUUCUUUCAUCGAUCAAAACUAGUGUUUUCAAAAACAGAUUGAUUCAACUGCUUGGAUAGGAAAUCGGUCCGGAAAUAGGGGUUGAAUCGAUUGACUUGCGAACAAAAACAAAUCAGUUGAAUUAAGCUAAAAAAACUGGCUGAACUAGUUCUCCCCAUUUAUAUAUAUAAAUAAUAAUAGUCUUUUUUUUUUUUACUACAUGUCAAUUUUUAAUUGAUUAAUUUUUUUUCAUAUAAACUAAAAGGUUUGACUAAUGACGGAGGUACCAAAUUAUAGUCUAGGUACCAAUUUAUGGGUUAAGCCUAUUUCUAAAAUAGACUUUUGACUAAUGGCGGUAGUAACUUGGGAAAAAAAAAGUAGUUUAUGUACCACUUGUGACCAAAAAUAAGUUUAGGUACCAACAUGGGAAAAUGGGUAUAAUUUAGAUACCGAUUUAUGAGUUAAGCCUAAUAUAUUUGUCGCAUCAUUUUCUGAAAAUAACAGAACUUAAUAAAUUUAACGGUUAUUGUUUGGUGAUGAUUAAAAUUUUAAAAUUUGAAAAGUACAUGAACUAAAAAUGACCAAAUUAAAGUAUAAAGAUUAAGUCCAUAACUUUUGCAAAGUACAAGGACUAAUUGCAGAAAUUAACCUAAAUUUCAUAUGGGUCAAUUACAAAAACAAUCACUAAAUUAUUCAUUUAGUUCUAGUCUAGUCACUCAACUAUAGAGGUGCUCAUGAGCCGGGCCAGGUCAAGCCUAAGCAUGAUAUUAACGUACUUUAUGCUUGCUCAAGCUUGGCUCGGCUCGAAAUAUGAGCUUAAAAUUUCGCCUAAACUCAUCCAUAUUUGCAAAAGAUUAACCCAAGCUCAUUUUAGGCAUGCCCAUAUAAUUUUUAGUUUUUUUAAAUAUUUAUAUUAUAUUAUUUUAAUAUUUAAUAGUUUAAACAUUUUUAUUUAUUGAAAAUUUUUAUAUAGUCAUCUUAACAUUAUUUUAAUGUUUACAUUAUAGUAUUAUUAUAUAUUUAGUAUAAGUUUAUUUUUUUAAUCUGUUCUAAAUUAUAUAAUAUAAAGUAUUAUACACUUAAAAACGGGCCGGGCUGGGCUCGGGCUUUGAAUGUUCAAGCCUGAACCCAACCCAUAUUUUAAAUGGGCCUAAUUUUUUUACCCAAACCCAAUUUUCGGGCCUAAUAUUUUUACCCAGACCCUCCCAAAUUUUGGGCCGCCCUUGGGCCUUGGCAAGUAGCCCAACUCAUGAACAAGUUUACUCAACUAUUUAUUUUUUCAAUUUAGUUGGUAACCUUUUCGAAAGUAAACAUUUUAGUCACUCUCCUGUUAGUUGUUGUUAAAUGAGUGAUGGAAAGUUGAUAUGGGCUUUUUUUAUUAGUCUAAUAACAAAUUUAGCCCUCCAAUGUUUACACAUUCUAUCAAUUUAAUCCUAAAUAUAAAAAAAAAUCAACAAAUUUAGCCCUGAAUGUUAACAAAACUUGUCAUUUUAGUUCAAAUCCUAAAAAAUUUAAUAAAUUUAACUCUUAAUAUUUUCAAAAAUUAACAAUUUAGUUCUAAUUCUAAAAAUUUUAAUAUAUAUAUAUAUUUAAAAAAUAUUUUUAAUCCUCUGUCCCACCUUUUGAUUUUUUAGAUGAGCUAAAAUAAAAAAAUAUCAUUAUGUCUUUUUGUUUUAAUGCUAAAAGAGAUUAAAAAAAUGCAAAGCUAAAAUGACUUUUCGUUUGUAAAGUUAAAAAAUGCUAAAUAAAUCAUUAUGUCUUUUUAGUUUUAAUUUUUUACUUGAUUAAAAAAGAAAUAAUUAACGAAUGAAAAAUAAUUAUUCCCAAAUAAAUUUAUCAGAAUUUAUAACAAAUGAGAUUUUAGAUUUAAAUUAUGAGACACAUAUAAGUAUACACAUUUUUAUGAAAUACAAGAUUUUACUAAAAGAAAAAGCAUCCAAUUUUAAGAAUGAAAAAUAUAUGGUAAAAGCAUCCAUAACUUUUCAAUGUAAAAGUAAAAAAAGACUGUAACACCAAUGUUGUGGUAUUAUUUGUUGCCUAUAAAUACCAUUCCUAUCCUUCAUCUUCCUCUACCAACAUAACAUGGCCCCCUAUCUCUUUCUCUGCCUAUUCCUCUUCUUUCCCCAUCUUUAUGCUUCUUUUUCUUCUUCAGGAUCUCACUCCUGCUCUUCACUAAUCCAGUUCAAGAAUUCUUUUUCCAUCACUCAGACAGAGUAUGCUUCUUUCUAUUGCGAUCGUGUUGCUGGUCUUAAAUCUUAUCCCAAGACAAAUUCAUGGAAGGAGGGUACAGAUUGCUGCUCAUGGGAUGGGGUCACUUGUGACCACCUAAAUGCUCAUGUUAUUGCCCUUGACUUGAGCUGCAGUUGGCUAUAUGGCAACUUCCCUUCCAAUACCACUCUCUUCCUUCUUCCUCACCUUCAAAAACUCAACCUUGCCUACAAUGAUUUCAAUGAUUCCAAAAUUCCAUCCGAGUUCGGUCGGUUUACAAGCCUAUUCUACCUCAACCUUUCUUGUACAAGGUUUGUAGGAGAAGUCCCAUCCCAAGUCUCCCACCUGUCAAAAUUGGUUUCACUUGAUCUCUCCUCUGGGGGUUAUGUACAAACAAUUGACAAACAUGCUCUGGAGGGACUUGUUCACAACCUAACCGAGGUCAGACAUCUGUUUUUGGAUGGAAUGAACAUGUCUUCUGUUAACGCUCAUGUCUUCAUGAAUCUAUCCUCUUCUCUAAGGUCUCUCAGUCUUGCUCGUUGUGAUUUGCAAGGAAAAUUCCCAAAAAACAUUUUUGAUUUGCCAAACCUCAAUCUCCUCAACUUGGAAGGCAACCAAAACCUCAAUCUUGAUCCUUUGAAGUUCAAUCGGAGCAGCAAUCUUGAACAUUUGGAUCUGUCGUCCGUGUCCUUCUCUACAGAAUUAAUUGAUUCAGUUGAUAAUCUACAGGCCCUAAAGUACUUAGAUCUAUCAGGAAAUUCUUUCUUUCAAGGAUUGUCUGUCUCAUUCACAAAUUUAUCAUCUUUGGAGUACUUGAUUCUUAGGGGCGCAAAUUUUUGUGGAGGAUUGCCUGACUCGAUGGGGAAUCUUGUGUCCUUGAAGUUUUUAGAUCUCUCCAAUUCCAACUUAUCAGGACCGCUUCCAAGAUCACUGGGAAACCUCUUGCAACUCACUUAUUUAGACUUGAGAUCAAACAAAUUGAGUGGACAAAUUCCAUUGUCAAUUCUAAACCUAACGCAGUUGGAAUACUUGGAAAUAGCUGAAAAUUUUUUAGAAGGUUCCAUUCCAGAUGAUGUAACCGCUUUUCCUAAUCUAAUAUCUUUAGACUUAUUUGACAAUUUACUCAAUGGAACACUUCCGUCAUGGUUGUAUACUACUCCCUCAUUAAAUGGUAUAGAUCUCUCUCAAAAUCAAUUCAGUGGGCAUAUCAAAGAAUUCCAAUCCAAAUCACUAGCAUUGAUACGCUUAGAGAAUAAUAAACUCCAAGGUCCUCUUCCAUCUUCAAUAUCCCAACUUCUCAAUCUUACCUGGCUCGAUUUAUCCUCAAAUAAUCUUAGUGGUGUCGUAGAGUUUCGCAUGUUCUCAAACCUUCCAAAUCUCGAACUUCUUGACCUUUCAUAUAACAGCCUAUCCUUAACAUCUAAUACUACUUCUACUGUUAAUCAUAUAUUGCCUAAUCUUACUGGCUUAUUUUUGUCAUCUUGCAAUCUUAGUGAAUUCCCCCAAUUUUUAAAAGGGCUUAAAAGUUUGGAAAGCUUAGACCUCUCUUGCAACAAAAUUGAAGGCAAGAUUCCACAGUGGAUGCAAGAGGUGGGGAAUGGCUCUUUGACUUACUUCAAUGUAUCUCACAACUCUUUGACAGAAGUUGAGCACUUUCCAUGGAAGAAUAUUGCAGUUCUUGACUUAAGCUCCAAUUUGAUCGGUGGAAAUCUUCCGAUUCCAGCUUCGGCGGUCAAUGUCUUUCUGAUCUCAAAUAAUAAUUUCAAUGGAGAGGUCUCUUCUUUAAUCUGCAAUGCCACUUAUCUUAAAAUUCUUGAUUUGUCCCACAAUAACUUGAGUGGAACAAUUCCGCGAUGUUUUGGAAAUUUGAGCAACAGCCUUCAAUUCUUGAAUCUGAAGAAGAACAAGUUCUAUGGGACGAUUCCUCCAACAUUUGCAGAGGGAUGCCAAUUGACUAAUUUCAACUUAAAUGGAAAUCUGUUAGAAGGGCCAUUGACACCAUCCAUCCUUAAUUGUAUUGGUCUGGAAGUGCUAGAUCUUGGUAACAACAAGAUCAAUGAUACAUUUCCUCAUUGGUUGGGAAGUCUUCCACAGCUACAAGUUCUGGUAUUGAAGUCAAAUCAUAUGCAUGGGCCCUUAUGCGUCAAUAGCUCCAAGUCUAGCCCUUUUUUCUCUAAAAUCCAAAUUUUUGAUCUCUCGAGUAAUUAUUUUUCUGGACCCCUACCUGUGAGAUACAUCAACAGCUUCAAGGCUAUCAUAAAUCUGGAGAAGAUUGGGAGUACAAUGUCGUACAUGGGGGUGAAUGAUCCUGGAAUUGGUGGCUUCUAUACCUAUUCCAUUGGAAUUGUUAUGAAAGGACAAUAUAUGGAAUUGGUGAAAAUUUUCACCAUGUGGAUGAUCAUUGAUCUAUCAAACAAUCAGUUUGAAGGGGGUAUUCCAAAGGUUAUUGGGAAGCUUAACUUACUGAAAGGGCUCAACCUUUCUCAUAAUAACCUUAAUGGUGGUAUCCCCACCUCAAUGGAGAAUUUGACAAAUCUUGAAUGGUUGGACCUAUCUUCAAACACGUUGUCUGGGACGAUUCCAAAUAGAUUGGCAGAUCUGCCAUUUCUUUCGUCCUUCAAUGUUUCUGAAAAUCAACUCCAUGGUCAGAUUCCUCAAGGCAAACAGUUCAACACAUUUGGAAAUGAUUCAUAUGAAGGAAACAAGGGAUUAUGUGGAUUUCCAGUCUCGAAAGGUUGCAACAUCAUUGAGCCACCACCUCCAAAUGUGCUUGAAAAAGAUGGCUCAAAAUCAAACAUUACUUUUGGUUGGAAAGUGGUGUUGAUAGGUUACGGAUGCGGAGUGGUGUUCGGAAUGUCCGUGGGAUAUGUUGUUUUCCAAACUGGUAAGCCGAAAUGGUUGGUG
rnacentral:lncRNA from 1 species